rnacentral:rRNA from 4 species
GAGUAAUGUCUGGGAAACUGCCCGAUGGAGGGGGAUAACUACUGGAAACGGUAGCUAAUACCGCAUAACGUCGCAAGACCAAAGAGGGGGACCUUCGGGCCUCUUGCCAUCGGAUGUGCCCAGAUGGGAUUAGCUAGUAGGUGGGGUAACGGCUCACCUAGGCGACGAUCCCUAGCUGGUCUGAGAGGAUGACCAGCCACACUGGAACUGAGACACGGUCCAGACUCCUACGGGAGGCAGCAGUGGGGAAUAUUGCACAAUGGGCGCAAGCCUGAUGCAGCCAUGCCGCGUGUAUGAAGAAGGCCUUCGGGUUGUAAAGUACUUUCAGCGAGGAGGAAGG